rnacentral:lncRNA from 1 species
AAGUGGAAUAGCAUAUAGGUAAAGGGAGUUUCAAAGGACUGUUCAACACCUUUACUUCAUUCUGAUAUACCUGGGUUGGGUGGAUCUAGAUUCCACAAAAUCUUGUUGGCGUUGGAAGGAAGAAAGAAAGUCUCUAGUUCAGGGACAGAAUCAAGUACUAGCUUUUAAGCGGGAAGUGUAGUUCUGUCAACGAUAGAAUCCGCAGGAGCUGGUUAGGUGACUUUACGGACGAAACAAUAAGAUAAGGGAUUUUACGAUCAAGCAACUAAGAAUUCCACAAAUGAUCCGGCUUUCACACCUGAUUCCGUAAUGAUCCGGCUUUCACACCUGAUUCCGUUAUUGCAACACCAUAUUGAGAGUCGGGCUAAACUAGUAAAGAUCUUUCGAGCUCCCCUCGCUAACGCGCUACUAUAAUCAAAGAUGCAUUUCUGAACUGUGAUGCUCUAUAUAUAUGAAUAUAAUAUGAUAGGAAUUGCAACCCCCUGAAUUGACCUAUAAACGAAACUCGCAUUAGCAGAAGACAGGAACUAAACUACAGCCGAUGACAAACAAACAAAUGCGGAUCUUUCGAGCACAGAAGAUCUUCUUGCAGCUGACAAGCGCCCUUUACUUAAUUGUCCCUUUCAAGCAUUGGAGUGUACUCUCAAGUUACUUACUUCGUGUCCUCUCCUGUUUGUUACUUACUUCGUGUCCUAUACAGUGACUUACUUUGUGUCCUAUACAGUUACUCAAAUAUAUAAUAAAUCAUUGGCCUAAGAGAGCAACGAAUGCAUUUCGGAUCUAAGGCAGGAGCGCAGUCAAGUGAUCUUUCUUUGUUGGUGACGAGACGAGAUCAGAAGCCGUGGAAGCAGAUUCCUAUUGAUCAUCAGCAGGUAAAGAAGCUAGAUUCUAAAGGCGGGAUCUAAGGGUAAGAAGCGGGGGCAAGAGAGAAUUAUCUUAACAGCGGGAGCUGAAUAAGUCCUAAGCCGGAAUGGAAAGAAAAAGGAGAUGGACCUAUACCCUAUUCAUUGAGGAGAGGAGAGCCUGAGCACCGAUAUUAGUGAUUAAACAAAGAUGUUAGGAUAGUUUUGACCAUAAUAUUUCUAUUAUGUGCCCCUAAAGGGAGUUGUUAUGAACUGACUGCUAUAAUAUGUAUGUCCCUAAGAUGAAAGAGGGUAAUAAGAAUCAUAUUAAUGGCUGCUUCCGUAUGGCAAGUCCUGUGUUCGGGUGCUGAGAGCUAAUACCAUUAUAUCAUACCACUAACAUUGCUGAGAAUUCAUAUUAUGCCUAUAACACAGGGGUCAAAGACUUAUAGAAGGGAAAGGGAGAGUUAAAGAUAUAUGAGUUACAGACCAAGCCAAGAGGAGGAUAGUCAGAAUGAUAUAUAAGGUAGUUCGAAUAGGAGUUAGGGGCGAUAGGCAGACUUCUUUUUUGGAUUCCAAUUAGAACUAGUUUCAUCCCCCGGUUCCUGCUUGAGUCUAAUAGCUAGCACUUGACUUGCCCUUGAUUUAUUGUUCGCUUGUUGAUACGUCCUGUUAUAGAUUAAAGGAGAGUUCCAGAAGUCCUUGUGUGCCGGGCUGUAAGUUAUAGAGUUGAUCCUAUGUUCCACUUAUAUGUUACACUUAGAGAAAUAUGGGUUGACUGUCCCUUCAAGUUGUGGUCCUGUAAUUAUAGUGAUUUUGAGUACCUUUAUUUAGUAAGGGGGAGAGUCGCUCUAGUUUCAUUCGAGGUAAGUUAUUCAAGUCUAGUUGAGGUAAAGUGGAAAGUGGAGUGAUUGCCCCAAUGCUGCUGAAGAUCUCGGUAAUUCUACUAUAAUACAGACUAUAAGGGUGAGUUACCUGCGGAAAUUAUACCUAGCGCAUGAUUCAUACCUAGCUCAUCAUUCAGUUUCUUACCAAAGAGUCAAAAGAGCCCAUAGGUAUUGUUGCUAGAGGCAGAGGAGAGAGAUUAGUUGUUUCAUCUGUUUAUCGACCAGGUGUUCUUGUUUCAUUGUGAAGAUCAUCUCCGUCAGUAAAGUCAGUUGCAAGCCAAGUAUGGGGCGCGGGUUAAGAUGCCAAUAAAUAUGCAAUUCUCAAUGCAACGGCAACUAAGUGCUUAGCGAGUGCUUUUCCUCGCUCUUGUGCGCUAAAGGGAAGGGAUGCCGACAUCAAUCCUAUUAAUGAAGUUAGCAGAUAGGAGCAAUAGAUAUUUAGAUGAGCCUCAUUAAGUUAGCAGAGAGGAGCACUAGGGGAAGUAAGUAAACUAGUAAUCCGGUUAAGGUAAGAGAUGGAUUCCAUUCCUGUGCGAGAGGGAGGUUAGAGUGCUUGUGUAUAAGGCUGUAACUCAUAGACCUAUAGCUAGGAAGAGGUCAAGAGAAGAGAAGUCUCAAGUCAAGUUGUCGCGUAUCUACUUACAGAGUUGAGAGUUGCGGCGCGGUGCGAGUGUUUAGCAUAUGAGUUAUCGUUGACUGUAGUUCAUUGUAUCUAGCCCUCUAGCUCUGCGUCGGUGAAGUCUGAGGUCCGCGGGACAGUUGUUAAGUGUCAGAGUCUCCAUUCCAUUAUUUCUGCUCGUAUCGAGUUACGUAUCAAGAAGCUCGUUGAGUAUAGACUCAUCUGCUGGGGAUCAGGUUCAGUGAAAAAGUCAGUAACAUAAGCUGUAUCUGAUGAAGUAGUUUCAAGAGAAUACUUUUGUUGAAACAGAAGCAGAAGAAAGAGAAUCAUAUCUUACUGGCAAGUCCGCGCUAGGUGAAUGAGUGGAAUCUACAUUAAGGUAUUGUUGCCAGCUGCAAAGCCAGUGGAAUGAUUUGUUGAAAGUGUAGUUUAGUUCCAGUAAGUAAACUAUGGGGUGAAAUACCGAGUAAGUCAACUAUGCAACUCCUAUAGUAAUUAGUUGAGUUACCGCUAUCAGGUCUUCUACUACUUGUAUUCCUACUAAUCUUCUAAUCCGGAUAUACCGUACCAAGCUCCAAACUCUUAAUUCCACUCGAAAGUUAGAAACAGAAUAGGGUGCAGGUAUACACAAGAAAUGAAUUCUUUAUCAAGCUUUAUGUAUCAAAGCCAGUACAUUGAUUCUUCCAAGGGAGUUGCUAAGGUUAGCUAAGUUCACUUGUUGGGUUGACAGCCUUUCAAGGGUAGUGAGUUGAGCUUUACGGACCUGACCUCGGAUCGGAACUUAUCCCUUCUCUGAUUCUUAUUGUCCUUGCUACAAUUCUGCAACUCAUGGGUACGGUACUAGAACAAAACUCAGGUAUAUUUUGAUAAGUUAUAUCUAGGCACCGUAUCAGACGUAUAUCGCGAAUAAAAUCAAGUAUGGGAAGGUUACAGUCAGAAUGCAUAUCAAGUAAAGGGUAGUAGCACGAGAGUAUGGUUGCCCGAGGGUAGUAUCCGUUCUAGAGUCAUAAUUGAAGUAGUCGGAUUUAGGGUUAGGUUCCUCGUAGUAGUCCAGGAUUUAGGGUUAAUAGUAGUAAGUCCGGGCCUUACCUUUCUUCUUGCUUAUAUGAGCUAAACUCUGACUUUAUGGUUUGAGUAUUAUAGCUUAGUAUCAAGUUUUCCAUUAGUAUCUGGGUUCCUAUAUAAUGUUAUUAAGUUCUAACAGUUCCUUAGUUCAUGCGUCAGUAACCUCUUUUGUUCUUCACCGGGUAGUCAACUCUAUUAAUUAGUAGAAUGUAUUUCUCCACUGGAAUUCUAUCUUAUAUAAGUGAAUGAAACUCGGCCUCACCAUUCCUUAGUUGCCAACAAACCCGGAGGCAGACUACGACGGGUAAUCUUACAAUACUAUAUUUGUUUCGAGCAAUUCCUUCUUCUGUUGAUUCUUAAGCCCCUAGUAUAGUAGUGGAACUCAUUAAAACACAGACCUAGGAGCAGGAAAUGAAACUGAUUGUCCCGACUCCAAGUCGACUCAAGAAUACGCUGGAUCAGAUGCUGGCGAAAGACCUUGUGCUUCGGGCUUGUAUCUAAGUAAGAAUAAGAAAGUAAAGUUAUUGUUGAAAGAGAAGGAUCAGAAGCGGGAUCAGGCAAUGAAAUCCGGUUGGCACUAGGUUGUGUACCUCCCAUUCUUAUUCGGAUAUAUGUCAUUCUGUAUUUGACUAAAGGCGCAUACCCAAUAUUCUGACUCUUGGUGGUACCCUAUUCUGACUCCAGAGUUUCUAGUUCCAUUCAGUAUUUCUAAUGGGUGACUUCUGACUUCUUUGUUUAGAGCACAUAAGUAUCAUAUAUGACUCUGUUACUGUUGCUUCAUAUCGAGUAUACACUUUCUUCGCACUGAACUCUUUAACUCUUCGAUAUGUGGCUUAUACUUCCUUGCCAAUACUCUAUUCUCUUGUUCGCACAGCACAGUAUCCUCUUGUCUUGAAUUCCUACUCCUAAAAACAGGACUGGAACUUGCCCCCCGAAGAAAUAAGGAACUGUAAGAACUUCGUUUGCUUACUUUGACACUGAAAGAGACUCGAAAUACAGAUGCGCAGUUCCCUUGAGAGUUGCUAAGCGGGUUCCGAAGGAGUGAGUGUACUCUCCUAUUACUUCCACACCUAAGUCCUAAAUACUAGUUUUCCAGUUCCAGUGUUGGCGACGAAAGAGAAUCAACAGUAGAAAGAUUAUAAACAGAAGAAUUAGCCAGGUAAGAUAGAAGCUGGCACCCAACCUAGCGAUCUGAAUUGAAAGUUCGAAUUGAGUCCUUCUCGCCGACCUACAACUCUGAAUUCCACUCCUUAUAGCCAACGAAUCCAACUCCUUAUAGCCAAUAAAGUUCUCUGUGCUCUGAACUAGGAAUUGCAAAAUGGAACUAAGGAUUGACGGUCUAAAUCCUCUUGUCUGCUUGUUGGGGGUCAACAGAUGAAACACACCCACCCGACCCUAGAUCCACUGUUUUCAGCGCCUUCGCAUUCUACUCUGUUCUGUCUUCUAUUCUAUUUAUAUAUGAUAAUAGUCCAACUUCAUUGAUUACAGCUGACUUAUGAACUCGACUUGUUGAACCUCUCUCCACGACAACUAAGGUAAAGAAAUGGAACUGGCCGAGCUACACGAGACUUCACUCGCACCCUCAGAUAUGAGGAAUCAGUAACAAGAUACACCCUCUCCCUUUGCUUGAAAACUCACUCCUUACUCUUAGCGCCCUUGCUUGUUGGGUUGAAAACCUUAACCUAUAAAGUCAGUAUUAGCCAUCUAGCUCAGCUAUAGAAUGGAAUAGAAUGCGAGUGCACAAGAAUAUAGAUUAGAUAGAAAUUCAGAAAAACACUCCAGACUCUUAAGGAAGUAACCACCUUGCCAAUCUCACUUAUGCUAUAGGGCUUGUUCUUUAAUAAGGAAUAUCGGCAAAAGAGAAACAAGUGAUGGAACAAGGGCUUCAACUAGUAACGGCAAACAGACAUUAUCUAUAGGCCUCGCUAACGCACUUAGUCUUUCUAAACUCAACAAGCAUUAGGAUUAUUUGGGGGGUACGCAAGCAAGAAAGAGCUCGCAUUAGACUUAUUGUUCUGGGUACAUUGUUGAGUUCUUUGAAUGUGAGUGCACAACAACUUAUGUAGUGGAGUAACCACACUCCUGACUUAUGGAAUGGAAUCUAUCUCCUUACUUUAUGGAAUUGAACAACUUCAGUUAGCGCCUAACAGCUAAAUGGAACUGACUGAUCUACAUAUGAUCUAGGAAUUGAGCGCAGAGCCAGCCUGAAAAGAUUGGAAUUGGAAUGUCAACUCUAAACCCCGUAAGCAGAAGUCAAAAGUCUCAAGCCAGUUCCCAUAUAGUAUCUAAAUGACCUAUGAUUAUUUAUUGAAUUACCUGAAUUAGGACUGGAAUUGCUGCUUACUUGCGCCUUAACCGCUACGUGGGCAGUAUAGAUUCGAUGGAAUUAUUCCAUUCUCUAUUUCAGUACCAACACGCUUCAGAAGGAAGGACAUAAGAAAAAGUACCUUAGCGCUUCAACUUAGUAACUCGCUAACGAAAUGAUAGUUCGCAUGAACAAGUUGUAGAUUCCCAGGAUCAGGAUACACAGUAGUAGUCGCUUUGCGGGAUUAGAAUUAUCUACAAGGGGGCGGGUCUUCAACUCUUAUCUGAGAAUAAUCCUUCUGAGGGACAAUACUUCUGAGGGACCCGGUCUUCUACUCAGCUACUUAUAUAUUGGAAAGUAGUCAAGUCAGAAUGAAACGACUCCUUAAUUCCACUGCUCCUAAUAAGAGCCAAGCUACUACUCGAGUUAUGAGCAAGUCAAGGAAGGGUAUAGAAUCGUUGGGUAAUCAACAGGGCCUGGCGUUUCAUAAUUCUUUGUUGACUGAAGAUCAACUGCCCUCGAAAGAUUCCAUUAAGUAUUUGUUGAACAGCUUUACUCGGAUAAGCAAGACUCAGUGCGUAAAUAUCGACUUGCGAGUUCCGUUCCAGAAGGGAAGUCCACAAGAAAGAAGCUGUUUCAAGGAGGAGUCUCCCGGGACAUAAAUCCUAGUUUAGAGCCAACACCAAUAAGUACUCUCAAUUAGGGUUCUUCGGCGCUAAGAUCUUUGACUGCAAGAUGAUCUUAAUGUAAAGAGUAAGUAGUGAGUGGUUCAAUUCUUUACACGACGGAUCCUCAGUAUAAUCUUAAGGUAGCUAGAUCCGGAGUAGGAACUGGAUUGGAAGCUUCAGAUAGAUUAGAUGCCCCCCCUAACUCUAAAAGCAAGUGGACUACAUAGUUUCACUCCCGAAAAAACUAGUGGAAUUCCUUGUUUCCAGCGACCAGAGAAUCCGCUGUAGAAAAGAAAGGCUCCAUAAAAGAUUGACUCGGGUGGCAAGAAAGAAUCAAGUAUUUGUUGCGGAAGCCCUCAACUCUCAAUCCGAAGUAAAAGCCAAGCCAAGCCCUAUUUGCCCUGACUUCUAAAACGAGGUUCAGUAUAGCUCUCCAUAAACCGAAUCUCAUGCCCACUCAUAGGUUAAGUUGUUAGCGUUAGUAGUGUAAGCGUAAGGAGCUUCUGCACUACGAUCUUUUCCUGGUUGACUUCUCAAUUCCUGCCUGGUUGCGAGAUGAGAUCUCCAUUCCUAUAUUCUUGUAUGACAUGCGUGAGAUAGAGAUUCAUUUCAUGAUUGUUUGCCCCAUAUAGUAAGUGACUCAACUGGACCAACAAGAACAAGUGCUAACGUCCGGUGAGUUAAGAGCAACGUCAUCUAAGAAUUACAGCUAUCUCUGGAGUGGGUAAAGAAAAGAAGCUGGAUAUGGGUGCAUUAGUAGUAGUGAGUGACUUCUUUAUAAUCAGAAUCGAGUUUACCGGUACCGGGUAGUUAAUGACUUUUAGUUCCUUCCUUUCUUUGCCUUUGUAUACGUUGCUUGGCCCUGGCAGCCUGGAUUUUCUAUACUGGUUUUUUACUUGAACGAUACUUGCAUGGAAUCAGACGAAGAUAAGCUGGGACUGGAUCUUUACCUAGAAUACUGUUUCUUUCCUCUUUCUUUCCAAAGAACCUUUCUUGCUAAAGGUCAAUUGAAUUUGAUUAAGAAAUACAGGAAGGUGAGCUUACCAAACGAGCACUUUGGACUCUGCAGGCCCUGUCCUGGUUGGAAGUAGAUUCUCAAUAAGGAAUCCAUGAACUAUGAAUUUGAAAGCGGAAUCCGGCCUCAAAGCGAUCAUCUGCUAGGGCUAUUUUGGAUAUGAUGGAUGGGUGGGGGGUUUCAAAAUGACGGAUUUUAGAGUGCACAACUUCUGUAAAGAGAAGAAAAGCUUAUAAGAAACUAAACAUAUACGGCUCCACAAGAAGAAACGAAACUAAUGGGAAACUCUACUCUACAAGCAAUGUUCUAAGAGUGAGUUGGGGAGUAGCGCUUACUCCGUUCUAUGAGUUGUGCGGUAGUUUCAUGAGUUCCUGUCAACAAGCAACGGGAGUGACUCUGAGUUUCGUAUAGUAUAUAGUAGCGCUAACGCGAGUUCUUUGCCUUACUGCCUUUAGCACUUUGGCUAGAAUUGAGCUAUCUCGGUACUGUUUAAAAGAAUUGAGCUCGAGUCGUAGUAUUUCUUUAAGGAGCGGACAUGUGAAACUCUGCUAAUUGCCUAUGGAUGGGGCACCUUUCUCUUAUCUUAUUCUCGAAAAUGCCAGUGAGAAGGAAUUGCGAACAUCUCUCCCAUUCUUUCUCUUAGCGUGCCCUGCGCCGACAGCUUGCCCAUAUUGAAAAGCUGCUCUAAGGGGUAAAGGGAACAAAUGACUUGUAUAUCUAAGGGUUCCGUGAAAGAAUCACUUGCUGGUAUAUAUAAGGGUUCCGCUCAAUAAGAUUUGGAUUAGGGAAAGAAUCACUUGCUAGGGGAAAGAAUGACUUGUGGUGAAGGGAAAGAAGAACUUGUGCUUGUAUAUCUCAGGCAAAGAAUGACUCAUAUCUAUAGAAAGAAGUAGCAUAUUAUGAAAGCUAUGUGCUGAUAGUAGCAUAUUAUGAAAGCUAUGUGCUGAAGCUGCUAGUUUUUGAAUAUACACUUUGUAUAGGCCCUAUGUUAUCUUAAUCAAAGUGUCGAGACAAGAACAACUAACAGUGAAUAUUUCCUGUUUGAGAACUAUAAGGUAAGAUAAGAGAUAGGAAAGGAUCGAGGAACUCACUAGAUAAGUAAUAUGAAUAGGAAGAAACACAACGAUCCGUUACAAAUAAGGCCAAAACUGAUACUUCUCAUACUGAAACUAGGCAUCCGGAUCCUUUAUCUUAGAGAAUGACUCGCUACUGGUACUGGGAAAUAACUCUUUCGUUAUACCGGGCUCUCCCUUUACCCUAACUAGGUUCAAACGUCCCGGCAUCCAUCUUGUUUAAAAGCUUCGAAAGGUGGACCGGGCUAUUUCGAUUUCGCAGUGGGAGACGCAGCAGGUGGAGUGAUGGAAGAUUUCAAGUGGGCAAUUCUUCUCGUUAUGCCCUCUGGUUAUUCUGGUAUGGCAGAAUUGACUUCAAAUGAAUCCUCGUAACAGAAUUUACCACUUUGAAUCUCAUAAACGAGAACGAGGCCACGUGUGAUCCUCAAUGGAAGGCAUUUACCCAGAAAGAUGCGACUAAGGUAAAACCCACACCAACGGAAAUUAACCGAAACCGUAUCUCAACAGCUUGUAGAUAGGUCAAUAUCAGAUUUACGUGGGGAGUUGCUAGUUAGAGAGGGAGCACUCGGGAACAACCUGAGCAUGGGAAAUCAGAGCACUUAGGAGUGCCUACAUUCUUAGUGGAAUUUCAGGGAACAAGACAAGAGCAUAGAAAUCGACUUACGAGAAUGGCAUGAAGGGAGCUCUUAGCACGUACAUAGAAAGCGGAUUAGAACACUUAGCUAAUGAUGCUUUUGAGUAUUUGACAACAAAGAGAAGAGGUCGAGCCUCCCAUUCAGAAUAAGGAUUCCUAUGUCAUUAACUGGCGCCUUUACUUCUUGCCCCCUUGAUGUUGAAUUCUUUGAUCGGAACACAAGAGAAAUUCAUGCUGGAGAGAAUCGAAUGAUGCUGGUGGAUCUAUGACUCUUUGGGUUAGAUAUGCAGCUCAACGAGCAAGAAGUUACACAACAGGCGGAGGAGGUCUUGAAUAAGUUGGUGUCAAAGAAGCUAAGGAAAGUCAAGGGGUCGUUGGUAGACUCCGCUCUCUCUGAUGGUUAAAGAGAUUCUUUGGGAACCUGGGAAGCAAGUAAAGUCGUUCAGCUUCAAAGCUCCCAGCUUCUCGUUCUUAAUGAGUGAAACCAGUCUCAGGGCUAGUUAAGGUUGCAGAAUACAUUCAGUAAACAAGAUGAAUUUCGCUUGCACUUCAAACAUCAGAUUAUGAGUCUGCUUCCAGCUCUAAAUGAGGCAGGAUAGGAUUGUGUAACGACCCGCUAAACUCCAGAGGUUUUCUAGUAUUAAUUUCCCCCGAUCGAUUAGAGUGAGAAUAACUGUUAUUCAAUAAACAUGGUGCGGUGAGAAAGUGUUCAAUGCUUUUGAUCUAAUCGUUUGAUUGGGUUCAUCGUUUUCACUAAAACAAAACUCAGAAAGGGAAGGAAAAGGCUUACUACUCGGGGGCACAAUACUCUUUUUGAUGUUGGAAAUGGGGAGUUUCUAACACUCUAUCAAAGCCUAUGGGCAACCUAAACCCAAGGAGUGCAGAGUCCACCCAUCCAGCUCCAACGACGUAGAUAGAUUCUAAAGUUAGGUGCUAGUUUCUUAAGUGAGAUCGGCAGUCCGGGCUAUAUCGCGUUACAUUAGUUUGGCAAGACCCAGUGACAUUGUAAGUUGUUUUCUCCGCUGAUCCAAAUUACAGUCCAAAUGGAAUAGGGUGUAAUCCAGCUAUUGUUGCAACAAGGCGAUCGAAUCCUGUAUGCCAACCAAAGGUUUUUCGACUCUUCCUGUUAUAGGAACUUAAGGAGGUACGCUGCUGGUCCAGGAGAGCUCAGUAUGGUUGUCCCCAACUCUUGUUUCAUAAGUUGGUUGGCCCAGUUGUUACGCUUUCUCGUUCAUUAAGAACUGCUUUUCCUAGGUAAAGGAAGGUUGAGCCUAUAUCUUGGUGAGGCCGAGCUACAAGUGGUGUCCUGUACUGCCCUCCAACUUCUAAUAAGCCGGCAUCUUUUCCCACAAGUAAAGUGACCUACCUUUAGGGGGGAAUGCCUCCAAUGCCUUAGAUGACAAGUAUCGAGCUGCUCUAGCAACUUGCCUUUGUGUCUUUGACUACGCCUGAUGCUACUACUGGUAAUGUAAGAAGCCUUGCCUCUAAAGCCUUUGCUCCAUAGCUUUUUCCUCUACUUACGCAGGCUCCGUCGCUCCCCCCAUGACUAGUCGAUCUCCACCUAGAUGGGUAAAAGGAACGAGAGUCUUUGGCUGGGUCAGUUACUAUAUGCAAUAUCUCAAUACUAUAUGCAAUAUCUCAAUACUAUAUGAUUGAACCCGAACCUAGAUCCGACAACGGAUUGAUGACCAAAGCUAUUCUCUUUCGUGAAGCAUUAAUAAGUAAAACAGGAGAUAGCAAAUGGCAAGAUGGACUUUGGCUCUGUCUCGCUCGGGUGUCCCUAUCCCGAAGUAGCGUUCUCCUCUCCCCCUUGCAUCAUUCCAUUCAGAGCGCAUAGAUUGGAUGCUUCCCCGGGGCAGUAAGGACUGCUUGGUGAAAUUACUGACUUAUGGGGUUAGGUUAGGAUUCCAUCACUGUAAAAAGCAAGGGAGUGACACUAAGGUUGAAACUCUCUGUAGAAAGAUUGCCUAAAUUGAAGCAAAGAAGUGAUCCCCACUACGAAUGAGAUGUCGUAUACGCAAAAGAAAGCUCCGUCCGUUGCAGGCGCAUAAUCCUACUGUCAUAAGGAAUUCCAUUAACUCCAUAUUUCAGAGAUAUAAGCCUAGGAGCAAUAGACUAAAGAGGUAGGGGGCAUCAUCUGUCACAAAGUAAGUAACCAAGGGAUAAGGAAGAAAAGGCAAGGACGGGUGUGAGCAAGGAUUUAUGGCGCGGGAGUAGUCAACUUUUUGGAAGCUGUCUUUCCUUUAGCCGUCUAUCUUCUCUCAAACUAUUGGGCUAUUUAUCAGACCAUCCAAGGAAAUCGUUAGGUCUAGCGCCCCUUUCUCAGUCCAAGGGAAUGCUAAAAUGCUAUUGUUUCCAUUUCCCUUCUUAUUUCUUAGUAGAGCCUUCCAAACAAACCGAAAGAGUCAGAUUGCAAUUAGACUCCAGAAGUUUUCCCCCGCCACAGACUUGCCCUGUCUCCAUAAAGCCCCAAUAUACUUGAUUUCUUUUAGUCAUAAGAUUCCACGGAGUAAAUCAUACUUACUGCGCUUCAUUGAUGUCGGAUGGUUUGCGGAGCCCCUAGCCUCCCUCCUCCUUGAUUUCUCCUAUACAAAGCUUAGCCCAACGGAUAGUGUGUGUAUAUACCCCUUUUUCUAAAGAAAGCUGCUAAAUAGACUGGAAAUAGUCUUCAGAGUGUAUCUAGAAAGAAGGCUGCUAAAAGUAAGGGAUACUCUACUGGACGUACAGAUCUAAUUCACUCCAAUCUGCCAAAGCCAGGAACAACGAUUGGAAACUGGAAACGAAAUUUCCAUAAUGGAACUCAAUAAGAGCGGAACUGUUACUGUGCUUCAACUUUGGAUCAAGCAGAGGUAGUCCCUAAAUAGAAAAUCGAGUUGUAUAGGCUAAUUUCCCGUAUACACCACUCCCCAAGAAUUGCAUAGACUUGUGCGGGCGAUUCAAAAACGAGUCACUUAGCUCUUUGAUAAUAAGCAAGGCCUGACCUGACCACACUGCAAACUUAGCAAAUAACCCAACCUUCCAAAGCAAGAAGAGAGAAUGAACUUCACCUUUGAAAAGGACAAGCAGAUCAUCCGCUAAAAUAAGGUACCUUAUCUUUGGAGCCAGUUCUAAACAAGUCAAUCCUUCUUGAGUCAACUAAAAAGCAAACUCAGAAAGAAACACCAAACCACCCGCUUACUUAUAAGAAAGAGAAAAGAAAAGGAAGGAAAGCUAGAAUAACUCUUAAGGGAGGGAGAUCGAGCUCAGAACUCCGUAACACUAUUAACAAUUUCCAACUCAAAGGAAAGAGAUGUGAAAUAAAACUAGCACAAAAACACUUGAUUCUAAAAAGGAAAGACUCCAGAUAAUGACUAAAUGAAAAAGAUCUUUCGAGACAAACUACUAUCAUGAACAUGUCGAAGAAAGCUGGGAAAGUGAGAAGAGCUCUUAAACCCCACGUAGCUGUAUCUAGGCUAGGUUUAGAAUAUGGCUUACCCUUUUCCCCUAUUUAGAUUAUUGGUCUCUUAGAAGCUUACCCAUCUAACUUAUAAUACUGCUAACAAUAAGCCAUACUUAUAGAGAAAGGCGCCAUACUUAUAGAGAAAGGCUAUGUCCAGCUGUCUAUCCUCUUUCACUUAUCAAUCUGUCUUUCCUUGACCCACAUCUUCCUCCCUUACCUCUAGACCCAACCUCCUCCAAAUAACGACUAUCUCCCUAUUACCGUGUUGCUGGGUUACUCUCAUUUUCUUGUCUGCUUGCUACGACUACUCUAAUGAAGCUAGGAAUCACUCCACCCUAUGAGAGUUAUUUAUGAGUCUGCUUGCUACGAUCAUCUAAAUAAGCUAGGAAUCUCUCCAUCCUAUGAGAGUGAUUUAGAUAGGUGGUAUAUUACAAGGAGUGAUGAAAGUGUGUCAGCCUAUAAGAAAGAUGAGAAGAUACGUCUCCUGGAAUUAGUUGCUCUCUAUGUAAAUUGAUCUUUAGCAAGAAGCCCUCCCUCAGCUAUUUGAUAAUGACAUAGGUCCCUUGCGUAUGCCUUAAUUAGCUUUUUUUCAUCUCUUUCUGAUAUGCUAUCUUCCUUUAGCCGGACUUCUCCCGCAUUACUUUUGAUCAAGAGUGGGCGAGUACAACUAAAGUAAUGCAACCCUUUCUUUCCUUAAGAGAGUUCAGCACGGAUCAAGUUUCUUUCCUUAAGAGUUCAGCACUGAUCCUUCUCUCUUCUUUUUGAAAAGCAAUCUACUUAUCCUUCUUUCUCUAUUAGGAAAGGCAAUCAAUCCACUACCACUAAUCCUAGAAAAGGCAAUCAAUCUACGACCACAAAUCCUUAUUAAUAAGUGCCCUUCCUAUCAAUGGAGCAUCCAACCACUCCUUGCCUUGACCGAGUCUAAAGAAAGGGGAGCGCCUCGUCGUUUAGCUAUCGAAAGCCAGCAAGAAAGCACUUUCGCACAGAAUCAAUCACAUAGCAAAGACUUUUCCCUUAAGGCUACUAGCCCCCCUUUUCCAUAAAAAGAAGCAAAGCGCAUGGCGAUAAAGUUAAUGAAAUCAGGCAGACCGAUGGAUAAGAGAGAGAAGAAUCCCAGAGAAUAGGCUCACAAGAUAUCAGAUGAAGACUGAAGCGAAUCCGUGUUUUUUCUGAAUGAGAAAACAUCCUCCUCUCCUCUUCUUUACCCCACUGAGCGGUAUAAUCAUAAACAAGUAAUCUCCAAUCCACUAAUAGGUUGAAAUUGGGUAAUCACUUUCGAGCACUGAGGAUUCUUUAAUAAAGCAAACCCUCCAGUCCUAUCUUGCUACCACUUGCAAGUUUAGAGAUCCUACAUUCCCAAUGGCAGAGAAGAAGGAAGGAUUCAAGCUGGAAGGAAGCAAUAGAGAUUCAUCCAAUAUAGAGAGAUUAUACCUUUAGAGAUUCUCUUCGAUCCCCUAAAGGGAAGUGCCCAUGCAAUAGAAUCCAUGUUUAGAAUCCAAGCGAGCUACUGUCCGGUCUAACAGCUACGCGACUGGUCUAAGAGAUAACACAUUUGUUUUGAUCUUUCUAUUUAAGUACUAGUGGCGUUACGGAUGAAGACGGGGAGUGAGCAGGUUAGAAGUCGGGCAGCAGUCUUAUCACUUCCAGGAAGACCUAUAUAUUUGGGAGUAGAGCGGCAGAAGGAGGUCUUUCUUCCCCAAUAAAUCUACAAAGGUGACUAGUCUAAGAUCGUAGACAAAAGACGGAUCAUCAAUUCUUUUGACUAUUUCUUUAGAGCCUAAAAUGAGAAAGAAAUGCUAACGAGGCGAGGGUCAAUGAGGCCCACGAAGGAAACCAGCAGCGUAAAGGCUCUUUCAAAGGGGCAGGGACGUAGCAUAGGCCGACUCAUAGGAUAAGACUGUGCGUGUGAAUCCCGAGAGUUCCUUUUCAUUCCAUUCCUAAAAGGGCUGGCUACUCUUACUAUUUGGAAAGAGCUUGUUUAAAGCAUCUUCUAUUGCUCACUUUAUCAGUCGAAUUCCAGUUUCGGGAGAUCACCUUUCUCAGGGAAGAAUAAAAGAAAGCACUUACUAACUGAAUGACUUAAAAAGAAAGCACUUAUCAUUCAGGAGAGCGGGAAAAUCCAGAUUCAUUAAGUUUGGUCCUAGAGAUCCUUACUCAAAAGAGAAGCAUAUUACAAUCAAUUGUAAGGCAUGAACCAAAUGGGGGAUUGACUUGAAAGUGGAGCGUCGCGAUCUAUUGGCAGGAAUGAAUGUGAAUGAGAGAAAGGAAGAAUAGAAUGAUUGCGCUUGCCCCAGCUCCAAAGGGGGGAAUAACAGUAUGGAAUAAAAGAAGACGUCGUGGGCAGAUAGAAGACUUACCGGAGUACAAAGGAAUUCCUUGCUCCACUAGUAUACAACUUUCCAUGUAGAUAUUCAAUGGUAUAUAGGCCCGAAAGCUAAGACGAAUUCGAAUUGACAAGAUGUGAGUAGUGGCCAAAAAGAGAACUCCCGUGGACUCACCACUACAAGUUUUGGACUCGCGCCUUGCUUUGAACUCAGAAAGAGAGGCAUAGACUCUCACAAAUGUUCAUAGACAAAUAGACUCUCACUAAUGUUCAUAGACAAGUAAGGUAAGGAAAAAGAUAGAAGGUAUAUAAGACCAAAGGAGGCUAAGAAGAAAUAAGAUAGCAUGUUGGAAGAGAGCAAGUAGGAGUGAGAAAAGCGAAAGAUGGAAUAUGACUAAAAGAAGGAAGCAAGCAAAUUCAAGAUGAGAGCAGCUAGCAAGCAUAAGUCGGAACUAAGCAAGCAGGGAAAGUAUAAGCGCCUUUAAUUGCGCUCUAGUACAGGGAGAAGGAGAAAGCUGUGGUGGGGACAAAGGGACAAGAGGGUAUCGAAAUGCAUUCCUUUGCUUGACCUUUUAGAGAUUUAUCCUAUAGUCUCCAUAUAAAUACCUAUGUCUGGAUAGAGUCGGGGUGGAUAAGAUCAGAUCGACACUAUUAAAAGAGAGAAUAAGUAUAUUAAAAGAAAGAAAAAGUGGAGGGUCCAUAGCAAAAGAUAGAUUUACAUAGAAAUCACUAAAGAAAAGGAUGUGUGCCCGGGGCUUGAAUAUCAAAUCUCCAUUUAGCCAAUACACCAGGUAGACGUUAAGCCCAUAAAAGAACUCCAUCUCUGGUCGCCGACAGUCAACGCAACACAAUCACCUCUAUCGUAUGAUUGACUUAGCGCUGAACAUGAAAGAUUCCCCAGGGGCUUAUACUCGGCUGCCGAACCGUACGUGACUCGUAGGCUCUUCUAUCGAAGGUCGAAGCUAUGCCUGGACUAUCUCCUUUUAUAACUGGCACAAGAACUCCCAGCUCUACUGUAUGGAAUGAAGUCUUUGAAUCCGGAGACUAGGAACUCAACAACUUGUCCACUGGCGCAUAUCAAAGAAAAGUCAGAGAAGAAAGAGCAUUAGCCCAAGCUAGAGCAUUUAAGGUUUGGUGGCAAUAGGGAACCACACUCAACACAAGUAAUGCAUGCCUUUCAUCGGGGUAAAUAAAGAGCUAUCGUACUAGGGUGGAAACAGGAAUUGGGACUGGGCCUCCCGGCUUGAAACUACUGGAGCUUUAGCCAUUAGUCUAGCUCACCCCUGAUUUGUCCUGGAUCUUUUAGCGAAUUGGAUGAUCGGUAAGAUAUUAGUUGUCCCCUCGCUCUCCUAUAUAUGAUCCCUAUAUAUUUACCUUGAGCAAGUGAAUUUCCCAACUCCAAAUCUAUAAAGCUUUUCAAUCGGACAACUUUCGAAAACUUCAUGUUUUUCGUCAUCAAGAGUCAGAGGAUGCUUUUAGAGAGUCCUCAUCAGUCAGAACUUAUAGAGUAGUAAGUAAGCAGAUAGAGUAGUAAGUAAGCAGAUAGAGUAGUAAGUAAGCGAAGAUGGGCGGUGGUGGGGAGAGGGAAGAAGCUCACGACGAAUCGUUUCGGCCACUCGACGGAAAGGGAAAGCAAAAACAAGUCCCUUACCUUAUUUUGAUGCUUAAAGAAAGCAAGCAUGGUCACAUCUUAAUUGAAAUAGAAUUGAGAAAUAUGCCGCUGGUAGCAUUCCCUGACUCGGUUCCGCUGGUAGCAUUCCCUGACUCGACGAACUAUCCGAAGCACAGGAGUGCUCUUUCCUUGAGCCCCUACUGUACCUUAACUUAUUGUUUGGCUCGAGUUAACCAGGGCGAUGGCCUUCACCUUCCCCGAGCCCCUCCGCGCGGUGAUUGAUCCCACCGCAUUUCUUGCCCUGCCCACUUCUUCGUCAUCAGCCCCCAAAGUCGGGAAUCGCCGAGAGACGAGACUCAGGGCUCUUCCAGAAGAAAAGACAAGGAAAGAAAGGAGUCUGAUCUCUAUAGAAAAGAGUUAUGUCAUAACAAAUAAAUGAAUCGAUCUAUUGGAAUCUGUCUCUAUAUCUUCAUCUAUGGGGUCAUACUUAUGGUGCUUUUUGUGUACUGGUUCCCUCCUCGCUGGGAGAGGGGAUCUUCCAUUCUUCCUGUGGAUCCAGCAAGAGUCUCCGAGGACUUAGUAAGCUCCGACUCCAACCUUCUAUGAAAAAGCCUGACUUUAAGUGUAAGCUCCGACUCCAACCUUCUAUGAAAAAGCCUGACUUUAAGUAAUCUUGCUUUCUGUGGUGAACAGGUCGAGGGGAGCAGCAGCCGAAACCGUGAUCUUUAGCCCAAAAUGUCAUUUUCGUGUCUUUAUGUUAGCCAGUUAGUUCCAAACAAUAGGAACGGGCAUCUUUCGGGAGUAGCAGAAGGAUAAGAGCAACGGGGGCAUGAUCUGAAAGUGUUCUACUCAGGUGCUGAAACAGUAGUGUGGAGAAAGGGAACUUGCCAGCAUGAAUUGAUUAGGCUUCUGUCCUACCAACCUUGCUCGGAUACAAACAUCUUCCUAUUGGUUAUUACACCAACUUGAUACCAAGGAAACCAGCAUUGCAUCUAUCCGUUUUGCUAGAGAUAUGGCUUCAUGGAAAUCGUCUAUGGAACGGUACCGAAGGAGGGUCGGGUCCCUCUCGUUUGCAUAAAGGAGAGUGUUGAAAUCAAUCCAGAUUAGCCAGCAGGGCAUUUCUAUUGUUUGCGAUAGCACGUGUAGCUGCUGCCAUAGUUCUCUGCGGUCAACAAUCGAACACCUUGCGUACACAAAGGAUAACACAGCCUCUAUCUACCGUGCGCACAAUUUGGUUCCUGAAGGUAACCGAUUUGCUCAUGAGAGUGCUGAAGGGUUAGCUGAGUUGGUAACUUCCUUUUUCUUACCUAAAUCUUUACACAUUUUAGAACAAUGAAAUUAUCCAUUCCCUAUCGCUUGCAAAGAGCCUCCGCUUUCUUGCUAUCUAUCAGAAGUUCCUUAAUUGCUAUCAAUUGAACUCUAUGCUCCAUGAUAAGCGUCUUCCGUCUUCUAAGCGCAAGAAGUGAGGUGAGGGAAUUCCUAUAUUCUUGUGGGGGUUGAGACUAUCCUCCGAGUACUCUAACCACCUAUAGGCGAAUGAAUAAUGUUAGAAAACAGAGAUGAGAUGCAUAGGCUAAUAAUAGGCUAAUUAAUUGAUUAUUUCAUCCAUACAGAGAGCGGGAAGUCCUUUAUUCUAGUUAGUAUAGAGAAGAAGGGGGCUCGGCCUGCAGGAGUACUUAAUCUCGGGACUACCACGAGGCUUGCCUUCUUUAGAAAGACCAAAAGCCAACAAUAAGGUUCCAGACAUCAAUGUACCUCGGAAAUGAUUAGUUCGGGCGGUGGUGCAUCCACUCGUUCUUAGAGCGACUAUGUACCCACUCGUUCUUAUAGCCUAAUCAAUCUUAUAGUAGUGAACGGAAUACCAUAGGAUUCACUGGGCAGUAAGCAAGACGCAGCCUACUUAACGAGCGUAAGUAUUAGUUCUGGAACCAAAUCUUAUUAUUAGUAGAGUCGUUUGAUUGGGCUCCCCACUAGGGUAUUCUUUGACUUAUUACUGUGAUUCUGAGUUUGGGCAGUGCUAAUGCUAUUCUGACUUUGGACGGUGCCAAGCCAAUGCUAUUCAAGCCAAUGCUAUUCAUAUCAAGUUGACGCAGUACCAAUGCAAUUCAUAUAAGAUAGUUAGUUUCCUCAGUGCAAAUAAUAUUCGAUUCUCUUAUAAUAUAUUAGAACAUAGUUGAUUCCGUGCCAAUGCUACUAUGACUUGAGAGUUGAAGUAGAGGAGAGAGAUGCCUAGCUGACUUGCACAAACUAACCCACCCUAGAGCGACUAUGUGCCCAAGCAUUCGCGGACCCCGGGACACAAUUCCAUCAUUCAUUCAUAGGUCGUUGGUGCACCCAUGAAUUCAGUGAGCGAGCAAUCAUUCACCAUCACCAUCGUGUACGUGCAUCGUGGAUGCGAUCAACGUUCAUUCAUCGUGGCGGCGAUCAACAAUAACAAUAAAGCACGGUCAGGCGACUCAGUGUUUUCUUUUAGUAACAUAAAUAAGUAUGUGAACGACUAUGUCUAUGUGCCGUGCCCAAUCAGUCUUAUGCAGCGGGAACAAUCAUUCUGUGAACGGACCCCCGUGAUGGUGAUUAGGGUUUUGUCAACGUCAACAACGAGCGUAAGCGUAACACGUACCUCCGCGGCCAGGGUUCAAGUCAAAACACCUUUAGUAGCACCUAGAAACCGAUCCUCUCUAUCUGAGCGAGACAAUAAACAACCAUUCUUUACGUACCACUACAUAGUCGUCGGGUCGGGGCGGGGACCAUCUCUCAUUCAUCGCAGGGACGGGACAUCGACAUCUCCAAUCUGAAUUCCAUUCACCGGUUUUUCAAAUGGAACGAUAGAUCAAAUCAAGUUGUUUCUACAUCGGUUAUGUGGUGAGUACGUCGACCUUGACCACGUUGGUUGUUUCCUUUCAGAACGAAUUGACUCCCAGCAUGAAGUAACAAACAGCAGACUUAAAGAUAGAUCGCUCGCUUAGUGCAGUAAAGUGAUAUUAGGCGGUUCCUGUUUCAAGUGUAAGGUAAGAAAAUCCAAUCAUAGAAUAUGAACGACAACUCAUAUUUGUGAGUAAACAACCAGCUUCCUGUUAUUACCCAACUCCGCGCUCACUGCGAAACUCUACAAACUCACUAAGCGGUAGCACUUAGGCUUUCAAAGGUCAACUCGCAGCUGUAAACAGAAGAAGCAAGGGCAGUAAAGAGCAUUAAUCUGGGCUACGGAUUAGUUGGUAAAGAUGGAACCUUCCGAGAUAAAGAAGUCGUGGUGUCUGUCUUUACAUAUUUCAUAGAUUUAUUGACUCCCGAACCCUUUCCUCUACAUCAGGAGAAAUCUUAUCCCUUCGUUCCCACCUUAUAGUAUUGGAUAUUUUCAUAAGAUUCCGGUAAGGGCGGUUGAGCAGUUGAUUCAGCAAUUUCUAGUGAGGAUGUUAGUUGCUAAAGAAAGAUGAGAUGGGACGGACAGCAAGUACUUAUAAGAAGAGGCAGAGUUGAGCACACAUGAUAGAAAGAUGCAACUGCCCUUAUUCUAAUUGAUUCUAAUUAAAUAGAGCAUCUCCUCUUAACGUGAGUUUUAGUAUGCCUAAAGUCCUUAGCCGAUAUUCUCGUAAAGUCAAGUAAGCUGCUUUGUUACUCAAUUACAUUAUAGGAGAGAGAUAAGAAUAGUGAGUUUCCUGUAUUUCCAUGAUAGUGGUUGACUUGAGACUUAAGCGUUACGUGGGCAUGAGAAAAGAGAUGAUCUUCUGGAUACGAUGACACUUAUUGACUUUGUUGUCUUAGCUGCCGUUCCCUUUUACUUAACCGACACAUGAGAAAAGAGAUGAUAUCUUAUAGCGUUAUUCCUGACUUCAGAAUUAAUGAAAUAGUAAGUGGGUGGAGUAUAACACAGUGCGCCUAUUUUCAUGAUUAAACGAAGCAAUGCAGUUUUUUUACGCAAUGGCAAUGCUGUUACUGUGCUUACACAUAGAAUAUGUGCACUUCUAUACCCCUUAUUAUGUACAGUACAAAGUCAACUUCUCAGAUUCUUUUCAAGCAGGCAGAGUUCAAUUGAAUUAUAAUAAGUGACACAUAAUAUCAUUUACGAACCUAACCCAACUGAUUACUCCUCCUAAGCUCACGUAAGUACCCGCUAAAGUAAGCUUACACGCGGAAGAAGGCUUCUUUCUUUCCAAGUAAGGACACAAUCCGGUAAUUCUCCACGACAAUACUGGAACCUCUAUUGUAGACAAGGAGCGGAUCUCGCAUCUGAUCUUGUAACGGCUGAUUCUCUCUAAGACAACAACUGAACUGUCCGCUACUACCACAUAAGUAAGGGUUCAUCCAAUACUAUAUUGAUUAUGAUCGAGUAGACUCACUACUUCCCGCGCGUACUUUGACUUUAAUCACCUCUCUAUUCAUAGAUUGUUUGCUCACCUCUAACGACUUUAUUCCCAUUCAUAGAUUGUUUGCUCACCUCUAACUACUUUCUUCUUUCCUUAGGUGCACCGAGCGAGCAUAGCAACAGCGGGCCGGGCCCACCUCAAGAACAACCAACCCCUUUGGAUUUAGUUGUCGUUCAUGAAAUAUUCAAUGAUAACAAUACCACUAGUUCUGUGACAUUUCUAGAAGGGUGCUUAAAUACUUCUUUUCUAGUUCUGUGACAUUUCAUAGUUCUGUGACAUUUCUAGAAGGGUGCUUCAAAAUACUUCUUCUAGUUCUGUGACAACUAAUGAAAGGUGCUGAAAGCUUGUGCAAACCUAAGAAUGCUUGCUUUGACCCCCCACCCAGAACAGGCGGACCCAAACUCCCGUCCUGGAAGAAGACCCCGAGGCGCGCCAGGUAUGCCCGUAACCAGUGCCAGAGAUAGGCUAAAACCCGGCCAACCAACAUCAAAGAAUACUGCGUGUAAGCUCUGGAUCCUUCGAGAUCCCCAUGCAGAACCGCUUCCUUCCUCUAGCACAGUUUUUUAUAGGAAGGAUGGACCCUAUCUCUCUCCCUAAGCCAGGCCAAGCUCCUCAACGGAGGCUACUACAGAAGCCUACAGCCCGAUCUGACCUCAUAGAGCACUUCCUUCUCUUAGCCAUAAGCUCUUAAGCACUCCUUUUCUCAAAAGAAGCUCUUUCUUCACGACCGUAUUCUUUCUCUUAUCCAUAAGCUGUUAACGACCUCCUUCUCUUAUAAUUGAGAAUCUUUGAUACUCCCAUCCUUCUCUUAUCCAUAAGCUCUUAACUACUUCCUUUUCUUUUCUCUUAUAAUCGUUUCGACUCCUAUUCUAUCUCUAAAAGUCAUCCCUCUCCUAUCCUAAAUAGAAAGCUGAGGAAGAAAGCAGUUCUAACAAGUUGUCUUUCUAUCAAUAGCUACACUCUUUUAGAAAUUCUCUAAUCGACCAGGCGUAUUGUGUCGAUUCUUGUGGAGAUGCUUUGAUCCGAGUCGAUGAGUUUGAAUAUUAGUCUUCUUCGCUCAAAUAAGGGUCAUUCUCUCUUUUUUGAGGACUUUUUCGAUCCCAUCCUCAAUCCAUUGAUUUCUAAAGUACCUAAUUGGACGCGUGCUUGCCACGGCCCUUCCUUCCCAUUUACUUAUUUUAUCCGGGUCGGGGGUUCAAAUAGGAGUUGGAUCCUGGCUCAUAAGGAAGGCUAGUGUUAUGUCAGGACCCCAGGCAGAGUGUUUCACGCGUUGUUAACCGCGCAGUAGCUUUUGUAGUAGUAGUCGGGAUCGUUUUUGAACGCCUUGACACCCCCUUUCUAAACACUUGGGCCCUGUUACCUCCCUUUGAAAUGAUUUCUUCUUUAAUAACAUAGCAUAGCCCUCUUGUCUUGCUUACAGAGCUUCUUUCUCGCCUUACCAGCAUGGAACUCGGGUUAGCACAACGGAAUAAGGAACGGAACAAUACAUAGCUUGCUCGAGCUCACUAAUAUUGCAUUGCGUCCUUCCUUGUUAUAGGAAUUGAGGAAAAUAAUCUAUCUUGCAUAUGGGAUGGGAUAUAAACGCGUCACAUAACAGUUUGCUUGUUCUUACUUACUCACUUAUUGAAGAAAGUAACUCUCCACACUGUUUACUGCAGGCUCUAACUGCGCCAAUAAGCGUUAGCGCGACGAAAGCGAACGAAAAAGGUUCCUUAUGUUGAAGCAACUUUCUACUUAAUUAGAUACGCAGAUGAGACACUUUUGAAGCAACAACAGUUGGACAUAAACUUGAAAGAAAUAAGUAGCAUAUGAGAGAAAGUAUAGUAAACAAACCGCAUUGCUUCUGCCUUUCCAAUCAAAGAAUCGAAUUUAGUGCACCAAAUAGACCGUUCGUAUAGACAUUGACUCGGCUUGGAUCGAUAACAAAAACAUAGAAAGCCUUAGGAUAGGAAGGAACUGCUAUUGUGUUUUAAAAAGGACUCAACCUAGAUCAUUUUGGAUGUGCUUUCUAGGCUUUCUUCGGAUCCCUGAAUUGAUGCUUAUUAGAUCCAGAACCCUCCGUAAGAAGUUCCAUGUGUAUGUGCCACGAGCCAGCCAAUUCCAGCUUGCCCCUUUGAAAGGUGUUGGAGGAAUAUAAGUAUUCUGUAUCCUUUCUUUGGAGAUCAUACGUCUGAGCUCAACGAUAACCACCUAUGAUUCUUUAGAAACCCAUCCAUCUUAUGCUAAUAAUAUAACUCAAGCUUUGGAAGCAGUCCUAUUAGCUAUUCUAGCCACCUAUUGUAUAUUUACUACUUUGAAAAGCAGUCCAAUCUAGGUCUUGAGUUCUGUAGUGAAGCCCUUUGAAAGCCCCAGAGCGUAGAAAACUACAUACUUAUCAGAGUCCUUUGCUGAGAUGAAUUUAGCAUCUGGGUACGAUAAGUGGGUGCAUUGGCUAUCUAGUGGACAGUUCUUCCCUUCGUAGCGUUGGAUGGUAGGAACUUACUUAUGGAAUGGAUUUGAUACUAUACUCGAAUGGAUUUGCAAUAAUAUCAAUACUAUCGUUUUGGUCCAUAGCUUAUGAGUUUGAAUGUCCCGCUAACCGAACAUAUGGACAUCGUUCUGAUGAAAGAAGCUAGUCGAGCUGAAGGAAGUGAUGCUAAGAAUGGCUACUUUUCGACUGACCCUAUCCACUCGAUUAGAUAUAUAAAUUCCAAGUGCUUAAGGGCCACUAACUCCCUAAUACCUUGGUUAAAACAAGAGCUCUCCACCGGAUAGAGAGCGGACAGCUUCGAUUCUAUAGGACAAAUUCCACCUCAUUUUCGGAUGGCACUCUCUUGCCCAUCUUUCUUUCUUUCUCCUCUCGAAAUGAAGGAGGGUUUGCUGAUAGUUUCUCUUCCGUUUCUUGAUUGGAACUCAAUGAUAUGAUUUUCUCAGACAAAGGAAGCGGAUGGGCCGGGGUCGCAUCCACCAUGGGCUUUGCUUUGAUAUACAAAUCCCUUAUGUUUCCUCCUAUGAGGAUAAUGUUAUGGAAUAGCAGAGGAGCAGCGAGAAUUCCAGAGCUAGGAUCUAACAAAGCGCAGGAAGACUAUUUAGUUACUGUACUUCAUCCCCAAGCGUUUAGAAUUCCAUCUACACAUUCUUUUCUUAGAUCAGUGACCAGAGGGAGAUUCAUAUUCAUUACCAAUUAAGCGCUUAGCGAAUAGAGUUCUCCUUGAAACAAACAAGUAUACGGAAAAGGAAACGGAAGAGUACCUACUUACAGACCCUCAUCGAUCCAUACCAGAGUUAUAGCUCUUUGGCUCUACAACUGACUCGGUAAGUCAAGUCUCUCUAGUUCGUAUCAGUCACAGGCUAGCUAAAGCAGAAUAGGAAUAGACUGCAAAAAGCAUCCCUUAUACUUGGAGCUGUGAUAGCUUAAUCCGAACUAACAAACUCUCCCAUUCCAACUUUCCCUCAAAUCAAAGAAGAAAAAUAAGGGUGCUCAUAGGACGCCUCGUGAAAGAAUAUUUACCCAAAUGAGAAUCUUAUUCGAAGAGAGAAAAACUUCCCUUCUUGCUUGUAUAAAUUAUAGAAUCAAAGAGGAUCUAUCCCAUAAUCAUUCUUGUUUACCUGACACGCAAGGGCAUUUCUUUCUGACUCUAACGAGUCCGCCCCCGCCCCAGUGGUCUGGGUUCAUCCUUCAAUCAAGACGUAGAUUUGGUUUUCCUUGAGAAACUUCAAGACGUAGAUUUGGUUUUCCUUGAGAAACUUGGAAAUACUGACCUUAUUAUUAGAGAAAGGUGGAAAGGUAAUAUUAGAGAAAGGUAGAAAGGUAAUAUAGACGACUGAAAGGUUGAUAUGGAAGGUGUCAAAUGGCUGGGAAGGUGUCAAAUGGCUGUAUAGGCGACUGAAAGGUUAUAUGGAAGGUGUCAAAUGGCUGAUGCUUAUUACUGGAAGAUAGAUAGAAUAGGCGAACGGAUGUGCUACCCGGGUUUGACUCUAUCUGGCUAUUCUAUACUGUGCUAGUGAGCAAAUUACCUCCCGACCUGUUGAGCAGUUCUUAUGUAGGCUAUAACAAUGAAAUGAAAGCUCUAUUGUGGAUCAUGAAAUUGAGAUUGAUCCAGCCAAGGUAAAAGCAAGAAUCGAAUAGCCACCCGACUACUCACUCUUGAUUCUUUGGCUUUGAUUUACUGAAUAAGAUGGGACGAAGUUGCUCGACCUAUAGAGUGUAUAAAGCAUGGUAAGACUAGUAGGGCAGGAAAAAGGAGUUCGAAAAAACCCUUAAGAGGUUGAGAAGGUGCGAAGUCUUAACUAGCACAACAACGACUUACUUGACUACUAGCACUCUACGACUCUCUUUGUUGAGUGACUAGACUCAGACUCUCCUUUGAUCAAUCACUAUCGCCAUAAGAAUCAGAGAAAAAAGGUCAAAAGAAGGUAGGGAAGGAGGGAGUGAACUAGGUUCUAGGCUGAUGGCGCCCAUAGGCAUUUCGAAAAAGCAGUGUAUAGUGUAAACCAACGAAAACCAUUAAGUUAAGGUGCUGAAGCCAUCUAAUAUGAAAAAGAAGCCAAGACCCGACUCUAGCUUUUGUCUUGCUGAGCCUCGCGAAGAGAAAGUUGGAAUUAAAGCAUACUUUAUGCAAGUCAUUCCCUAUCGACCUCUUGAUUGAAUACGGAGGGGGGACUAGGAAUGAUGGGCUAGAACGUAGAUGGGAUAAAGGGAGGGAAAGUAUAGCAUAGGGAAAACCCCCUCUUCGACGCUGUAUCCAUACGGGCCUUGAAGCCUUCCUUCUUAUAGUAUGAGAUUGCUGCUUACUCACCUAACCUACGGAUUAAUGCUUUCAAGGCUAUGACAUCAGUACAAGAAGACAAGAGGAGAUGAGGUAAAGAGUCGUCUAAGAAUUCGCCUUGGGGGGUCUGGUCUACCUUAGUCCUGUGCUCUAAGCAAUUAUUUCGCCUUUGUCAAAAGAGUAGGUGCAGCAUAUUCCUUUAGAGGUAAGAAGUAGCUCCAUCAUAAGGUUACUACAGGAAGUAGAUGCUCGUCCGACCCUCUCUCCAUAAGACCUCUCUAUCCCUAAUUGUAUAGUAAGUAUGCAACCCCGCACAUCUACAACACAGUAACUACCAUCGUUCGGGGNNNNNNNNNNNNNNNNNNNNNNNNNNNNNNNNNNNNNNNNNNNNNNNNNNNNNNNNNNNNNNNNNNNNNNNNNNNNNNNNNNNNNNNNNNNNNNNNNNNNNNNNNNNNNNNNNNNNNNNNNNNNNNNNNNNNNNNNNNNNNNNNNNNNNNNNNNNNNNNNNNNNNNNNNNNNNNNNNNNNNNNNNNNNNNNNNNNNNNNNNNNNNNNNNNNNNNNNNNNNNNNNNNNNNNNNNNNNNNNNNNNNNNNNNNNNNNNNNNNNNNNNNNNNNNNNNNNNNNNNNNNNNNNNNNNNNNNNNNNNNNNNNNNNNNNNNNNNNNNNNNNNNNNNNNNNNNNNNNNNNNNNNNNNNNNNNNNNNNNNNNNNNNNNNNNNNNNNNNNNNNNNNNNNNNNNNNNNNNNNNNNNNNNNNNNNNNNNNNNNNNNNNNNNNNNNNNNNNNNNNNNNNNNNNNNNNNNNNNNNNNNNNNNNNNNNNNNNNNNNNNNNNNNNNNNNNNNNNNNNNNNNNNNNNNNNNNNNNNNNNNNNNNNNNNNNNNNNNNNNNNNNNNNNNNNNNNNNNNNNNNNNNNNNNNNNNNNNNNNNNNNNNNNNNNNNNNNNNNNNNNNNNNNNNNNNNNNNNNNNNNNNNNNNNNNNNNNNNNNNNNNNNNNNNNNNNNNNNNNNNNNNNNNNNNNNNNNNNNNNNNNNNNNNNNNNNNNNNNNNNNNNNNNNNNNNNNNNNNNNNNNNNNNNNNNNNNNNNNNNNNNNNNNNNNNNNNNNNNNNNNNNNNNNNNNNNNNNNNNNNNNNNNNNNNNNNNNNNNNNNNNNNNNNNNNNNNNNNNNNNNNNNNNNNNNNNNNNNNNNNNNNNNNNNNNNNNNNNNNNNNNNNNNNNNNNNNNNNNNNNNNNNNNNNNNNNNNNNNNNNNNNNNNNNNNNNNNNNNNNNNNNNNNNNNNNNNNNNNNNNNNNNNNNNNNNNNNNNNNNNNNNNNNNNNNNNNNNNNNNNNNNNNNNNNNNNNNNNNNNNNNNNNNNNNNNNNNNNNNNNNNNNNNNNNNNNNNNNNNNNNNNNNNNNNNNNNNNNNNNNNNNNNNNNNNNNNNNNNNNNNNNNNNNNNNNNNNNNNNNNNNNNNNNNNNNNNNNNNNNNNNNNNNNNNNNNNNNNNNNNNNNNNNNNNNNNNNNNNNNAUAGGCCCAGUUCCUUUGAUUCCGGAUUGAAAGGUUUAGUAGGUUAGCAUUGUCAGUUCCGCUUUGCUUUCAUUCACUUCACUGGAUCUCCACCAAUCAUUGAACAACCAGCAGACGAGAAUACCUUUACAAGUCCUGUGCCGUUUACAACCUUGCCUUAACCACUAAACACUCUCAAUCUGGGUGUUAUAUAUAAGCCUUACCUUAACCGCUAAACACUCUCAAUCUGGGUGUUAUAUAUAAGCCUUACCUUAACCUUGUAGUGGUCCAAGCAAUGGAACAUGCAAAGAAUCAAUCUCUCUAGCACAAUAUAUAACUGAUUAACAACACUGCUUCCUCACUACUGGAAGAACGAGUGGAAUUGAGUGUUAACCUAUUUGACUUUCUCCGUGCAUUAACCUAGCAGUUGGGCGAGUCAUACUUACUAUACAGCACCGCUACCUACUUUAUGAAACUCCUGUUAUACUUACUAUACAGCGCCACCCGACCCGAACCCUUACUCUCUACUUUCAUAUGGAACUCCACUUUCAGAACGAGAACGUCUUGAUGGUUCUUCUUAUCCUGUUCCUACAGCUGAUCUUCAAACUGCUGAUGAUCUAUCUUCUGCUUUUUCGCUGGUGGAAGCUAAUAGCAGGACUUGGGCGAUAUGGAGUUAUUGAAUUGGAAUGUUUUACUCGUAACAAAAACACUCCGUUUUCAGCGUCAGAGUAUCAGUUCAAUCUUAUCCUGCGCAAGUGGAGUCUCGUAUGGCUGGGAUAAGGUAAAGAACCGCAAUUCUACAAACAGAUGAAACAAGGGAUUCUACUAGUGAUUCAACUCAAACUUCCUAACCUGCUCCGCCUGCUACUCCAAUAGAUUCUCCGUAAGCGCUAUGAAGUCAAAUCAUGAAUGGAAACUUUGAAAGCAUCUGAUCUCGUUGAUGUCGACCUUCUUUCUUCAGAUACCAGUGCUCCAACCUGCGCAGAAGCUUAAGAUCUUAUUGAUGAAUUGAAUCCAUCUCUUGACUCUCUUGCAUCACAUCGUCGUUCUUAUGAUUACCACCAAGAUAUAUCUAUACCCGGGCUCACCAUAAGCGUAAACACUUACUUCAUUGCUUCAAAACCUUGAUGACUUCUGGAAUGGAAUCUUUUUCUCUAUUGAAAUGCUGGAGUACAGAAUCUUGAAUAACUAUCCACAUAUAUAGAUAGGAUAAGGUAAAUGACUCUCCUGCUACAGGAAACCCUCUCUCUUGCGCCGUUCACACCACACGCUCUCACUCAAGGGAAUGCACUUACUAAGGCUGGGAACAAAACAGAUGGUUGUAAACGAAUUGAACUUCAAUCAGUUACACAUUGUAGAAUAAAGUAACCAAGACCUUUAGGCUCUAAAGAAAGGGAGCUCGCUAACUUAGAUGCGAUCGAUGCGAUGAAGACAGAAGUGUUGAGCGAGUUAAGAUUGAUUUCUUUCCUGCUAACUUGAGACUUAAGCGCAUAGUGGGCAGUUGAUCAUUCCAUUCUUCAAUUAACAAUUCAAAAGGUGAACUCUCCUCAACAACAAGGGCUUUUUGAACUCUAUGACAAGGAGCUACAGUGGGACAAUCACCUUAACCUUUGCUUGCUGUUGACUUUCGCACAGGUCCUGAUCAAGUUUCUGCUGACUGACUACUUACUCUCGGGUGAACAGCUUCUUCGGGAGCUCACAUAUCGGAUUAUUCUUCUGAUGCUGAUGAAACAAGAAAAGAUUCUUCUCUGGAGUCGCCUUAACCUUACUUUAUAUUCCGCUUUUUCUCCCGCUUCUGCUUUUAUGCUGAUACUGUUUAAGAUCUUUAUCUUACUCUUGAUCCAAGAACGAAACUUCCUGUUAGCGCCCGACCUCCCAGAGAUCUUAGUCCAAUAAAACCGACCUCUCUUCUCCACGACACCGUUCAAUUGGAAUAGAUUCUUCCCUGAACCCUUAAAGUCACUACUAAUGAACAAGUGGCGGCAAUAAAGAAGGUUCUCAUUUCAUUUGAAAAGUGCUCAUUGAAAAACCCAAGUAGUCGGUGUUGGCACAAGGGAAGGGAGUGGAAUGAUUGUUUUACUUGACUCCGUGCUCGGCUCUAAAGAUUCAAUGAAUUAUGAAGAUGAAUACUAUUGAGUGGAGUAUAGAAAUGGGUAAAGAAUAAGGAUCUGAAGCUGUUAAUCGGUUAAGACUAAAGUCAGCAGCUGCUCUUAUAGUAAGUUUCUGCCUGGAAUUCCAAUUCUCUUCUUUUUAUAGGAGACUAUCUGAUUGCCCCAACUCUACUACUCAUCGGAUUUCCCCCAUGAAUACAGGACUUGGUAACAACUAACGCACCGAACACAGGACGCAGUUGUCUUGACUUAACUCCCUUCUUGAUGAAGAGCAUUACCUAUUAAUACAUGAUACUCCCUUAUUGAUACCUAACUUUAUACCUUUAGACAAGCAAUAUAGUCGGGUAACUGCUUUACUUCGAGCUGUAGGGCUAAUUUUCCGUAAAUCAUUCAUUCAAUCAUCAUUAAUCAAAUAAGGAUAAGUCGCAUACAUACUCUAUCAAAGUAGCAACACAGCACAGCAGACUCUAUUCUGCCUUACAACCCUUCAAAUACUCCGUUCCUAAGCGCGUGAACUCUGCACUUGUUUCUUAGAAUUCCAUAAACACUGCUUACUCCUAACGCACUAGUAUCUUGCUUAGUGACUUUGUUUUCUUUUCGCCUAGUUACGGAAUGGAAUGCUUAUAGCUUCCUUUAAUCACGAGUUGAGGCAUAAGAGGUUAUAGUGCACCCAUUACGGAAUAGAGGUACCCUCACUGCUUACUCAACCCUUGACUUGCUUGGGCCCUUCUUUCGACCCGGGCCCCUUACUAUAAAGAAUGGAAUCUAGCGUUCAUAUGAGAUAUAAAUGAGUAACAACACUGCAACAAGCUUUGUAUAAUGAACAAUCCACUCGAAAACUAACGUAAGCUCCCCCAAGAGUCUGGAAGCUAACGCACUUGUUAUGUUCGAAAACGCUCACUCUUGACGCUCUUUCUUUUCCUUAUUGUCCCCACUUCUUCUGCACCAACACUGACUCUCGCUUAUUUCCUGCCCUUACAUCCUCUGCGCCAACGCUUACUCUCGGGGUGCUGACGCGGACUUUCGGGUUCUUUGCGAGUGUGAAGCAUCUAUUUACUCAGUUGUGCUUGGACUUAAUAAAGAAUCUAAUCUCUACAGCCCACUACACUCCUAGCUAACCUUCUAUUUUCUAAGCUUGUUCUGUGAAGACCACUCAUACGUUAGCGCAACUUGCAUUCUAUUUUCGAAGCUUGUUUCUCUCUUGUGAAGGCACUUUUCUUUUGUUCUUUAGUUAGCUAGUUUGCAACGUCAGAGGUUUGUUAAGAGUUGGAAUAUAUAUUAAGGCUUUGUUUGCUUAAGAGCGAAAUACUUGUAGCUCGUUGAGUUAGCUCUUUGUCUUUUGUAGCUACACUACCAGUAUGCUAUACAUGGAAGGUGGUCUAAUUCAGUGCUUAGCACUCAGCUUGCUCAGGGCUUGGAAAGAGACCCUUCGAUAGUGAGGCAGCUCUUACAGAGGAAUCCAAAGGGGAUUCUAGACAAUAAAGCGGUUGCAAACUCCCUUCAGGAAGAGUAGGGAGGUACCGAAGAGACAAAGACAACUAUGUAAGGCUUAGACAAAGCUACUACCGAGACUCCUUUCUUUGGAAAGCUCUCUCUUCAACAAGCACUCUUGCAAAGAGAAUCAGGGCGGGCUAGCUCUCUCUCUUCAAGCACUCUUGCCUAAUCAGGGCUAGCUCUCUCUCUCUUUCAAUAAGAACUAUAAUCGAAUCACUCUUACCAUUCAAGCACGACUUAUAGCUAUCUAUCCCGACUACUUGUGCUAUGGACUAUCCCGACUACUUGUGCUAUGGAAAGUUCUAAAACUACUAAACGAAAGGAAGGCAAACAGCUUAUGACCAGGAAAAGUACUACAACAACUAUGCCAGCUAUGAAAGUGAGAUCUAUCAUGAACAAGACAAUUCCACUAGAAAAGCGAGAGACAGACCUGCUGUUAAAGUAAGACAAUCAAGAGCUAUAUAGCUAGAAAAUGAUAGACUUGUAAAGUGUGAGACAGAUGACCUGCUCUCUUUAUUGGCGAGAAGAUAAUAAGUCGAAAGGACAAAAAACGAAGCCCUAACCUAAUAAGAAGGAAGAACUACUUCUGGAAGGGUAAGAAACUCCACGGACCUAAAAAAGAGAAAAGAAAGCAAAGAAGAGACCAACUUCUGAGAUACCCGCUAGCUUAGGUCUCAGUGAGCAACGAGCUUCUUCAAUAGCUAGCCUAGCCUUCACCGCUACUUCUUUAUUAUAGUUGUUUAUUAUCAUAUAUUACAGAACGAUUCCUUUAGCCCUACCCUAGCUCCAAAAGACUAGCUACACUCUUUCCAUUCCUUUUCUAAGAGACACUUGAUUUGAUACUAUACUUGCAGAGACACUUUCUUUUAUACUAUACUUGCUAAAGGAAAGGAAAGGCGAAGUAUCAACUUAUCUAACACAAGCACAAGUGCCUAUGCCUCUCUGUCCUAAAGUAGUAUAGGGUUCCCGAUAUUCUAGAGUAACAUGCUUUUGACCCAAUGUUAGAAUAUUGCACACUUAUAUGAAAUUCUUUAGUGGAGUCGAGUCUCAGAUAUACAUACAUACAUUCUGAAUUCUUAAGUCGAGUCUCAGAUAUACAUACAUUCUUAAGUAUAGCCGAGUCUCAGAUAGACAUAUUUGUUAUACGCCGCUCUUCUCUAUCCGUAUUCUUAUCUAUCAUAUUCUACUUAUAUAUCUUUUAUUACUUUACAGAACAGAGCACAGGCCUAACUCAGCCUUGUGUUUCAUCCGUGCUCAAGCAGUCUCCUCGUUUCGUAUCAAGAAGGGAGUGGAGCUGAUCUAGCGUUAGCGAGCUACUUUCCCGGGGUUCAAUUGAUUGAUACCUUACUUUAGACUUUCUACUCAACUUGCAUUAAUAACUAAGCUAAGUCGGCGGAGUUGGGCCUAAGUGAAGUCAACCAUUCAUUUCAUAUUCCAUCUAUAUAGCAUAUGAGAUAUCUAUAUCAUAGUAAAGUCUAACCUCACUCUAAGAUCAUUGUCUUUACUUCAAUCUAUACCCCAUACAUCAUGUGCAAGAAAGAGAACAAGCAAGUCCAACAAGUAACUGAGCAAGCAAUCCAACAAGCUAAUCUAGAUUUGUAGGUUCAGAGCAAGUCCAACUAGCAAUGGAAGAAACAACGGGUAGAUCACCAUCCGCGGGAUCUUCUGCUGCUAUUGGGUAAUCUUCAAGCCUUUGUUUGUGCUUCUGUUAUUGGCUUUCCCUUAUUGAGUAGUGGUCCAACUGAACUAAUUAACACAGACCUAUGAGCUGGAACAACAACUUGCGGACUUUUUCCCUUGCUUAUUUUAGCACAACGGGGAACUAUACAAUAAUAAUGCUAGUUUGCUCGUAGAACUCAACAAUACACUUUGACUUCUCUUCUUGAACUCACAAACCUCAAGGACUAGAUUGAGAAUUAGUAUAUCAGUCUUAAGUAGCCAGAUAGAGAAUUAGUAUAUAAGACAGUAAGUAAGAAAGACAGUAAGUAGAUCUAAUAAAGUGACAACAUUGCGUACUUAUCAAGCAGCAACAACAGUGUUACCAGUGAACAAACAAUCUGAAUGACGAAAAUCUUUUCCUGAACGUGUUAACUCCAAUAACUUGAAGAACUGUUUCCCUUACUUCCGGACUCCUUAAGAACUGCUUCCUUCGUAACUCCCACCUUGAGCCUGGUAUGAGAGCUAGAAUUGAGUGCACCUAGGAACUGGUCACUGUAAUACGGCUUAAAUGCAUUUAAACACCCGAUAGGGUAGCUUGAUGAUGGAUGUUGUUUGUUUAUAUUCGAGUCGUUUCCCGUAGGUGAAAGACCAGAAAGAUGCCUUUUUCAAACGAUGAAGUCUAAAGUGAGAGAGAAAUAAGAUCCGUUUGAUAAGAAGCCGAAGAUCAUAUCCUUUCGAAUGCUUAGCUAAGCUUAGCCCACUGAGCCUGCGUUAAAGUGUUUCUUCGGGGUGUCUCUCUUGCUAUUGACAAGGUGCUUCAAGCCUUUCUAGCAAUAGAGUCCGGAAAGCUUCAAGUAAGGGCGGAGGUUGGCGCGUAAAGAAUAGAUGUUGUCUCAAGUAAGAGGUAAGGAGCUGAAUUGCCAGUUCCAGAAGAAAGAAGAAGGAGCGGGAAGGGAAGUCGACUCGAAUUGCAAGUUCGAAAGUCCGCAGAGGAAGCAUGUGCCUACGGAACAAGCAAAUCACUUCUGGUUUUUGGGUGCUAACAUUUAAUGAGUUCCAACAAGCUAUGUUCCUAAGCGCGUUGUUGAGUUGAGUUCAAUGUUUAAGACGGAUAUUAUUCUUUUCUUAAAGCAAGAGCGAUUCGGUGCCUUAGCCGACAUCAAUCUUCUAUUCUAUUCUAUGGGUGAGUUAAGUAUUGAGUAAGGAGUCAGGGAGCAGUAAGCAAUGCGGAGUUACUCUCUUAUGGGAGCAGUAAGCAAUGCGGAGUUAUUCUCUUAUAUAAUAUGCGGAUCAUGUGAAACAAGCUAGGGCGCUAAGUCAAGUGAAAAAGGUAUUUUGUAAAGCCCACUAAGGAAGGGUAGUAAACGUCGUCCAGCUGCCUAUGUACUGCAAGAAAGCGUGCCUUUUCUUUGUUGACCGGCGGAAGCGGUAAGUCAAGAAGUGUCCGGGUGCUAGGAAAUUCGAUAUUCUUUUCUUUUGAGGCUAAAGGGAAAGAAGACUGUGCUGGUUUCCUAGGCGCAAGUGAAAUAAAUGCAUUCUUUUUCUUUGUUUUACUCGGUGCAAGAGAGAUUAGCAAGAGAUGAUGACUUCUUUUCUUUGUCAGUUCAAUUUCCAUUAAUUUGUUUGUCGGCGCUACAAGUAAGGUGGAGUUUUCGUCUUAAAGUAGAGCAAGGAGUCAGCUGUAAGGUAGAGCCAGAGAAAAAGUAAGCUCUUUGUUUGAGAAUCUUUCUACCCUUACGAGUCAUCAAUAGAGUCAGCUGUAAGCCGUAAGCUGUGAGGGGUUCAAACUAGCAGUGAGGUUUUUUAGGUUGUUGCCUUCAUUGUAUACUAUGUCCGUGAAAUGAUGAAAUAUGUCCGUGAAAUGAUUAAAGCAACAGCGAAAGCUGCAAGGGAAUAAAGAUCGUCAGUAGUAGAAGAUAAGAUGAUGCUGUAUCUUGACUCCCAUCUAGCUGUAUCUUGACUCCCAUCUAUACAAAGUACUAGCAAGUCUGGUUUUGUUUUUAGUAGGACAGGAACCUGAUCUUCAGCUGUGCGAAAGGAAUCCAAUAUGGAGUUUUCAAUGAAAGGUAUUGGUUGGUGUCGAGAGUUUGAUUACCGAGUGCUGUCUUCAACUCGAAGGCGGGGCACCCAUACAAUAUCACAGCUUCGUAUUAAUGGAGUAGGAGGUCACUGAGUUACCUAGAAAAGUCAUAAACAGCCUAACACUGAAUUGGCAGUCCACUUAGGUCAAGUCAAGCAAAGGUUCUCGGGGGUGAAUGAAUUUACUAGAUGGUUUCUCUACAUUGGGGGCAGUAAUUCAGAAAUGCUCUAAUGGAUGCCCAUAGUCACCAACAUAUAAAACAUUCUAGACUUACCCUUUCACUAGACUUGUAUACAGUAAAGGCAGUAAUAAGUUUGAUUAAUUAGUUCAGCACCAUAUAGUGUGAAGCUCGGGAAAACAUCUUGGGACGGACUAACUGCUUUGAAGGGAAAGGCUGUCUCAUGAACUGGAUUGCGGGUGGUAAGGGGAGAGCGGGGACUACGUGAAGCAUUUCAUAUAAAUCUCAUUCGAUUCUUGCAUUAGUGGGCCAUACACAACUCUAAGAUUCCCCUAUUCUAUUCCAAUUUGUAGUUAGGAGAAAAGAGACAACCUGCCCCCACUCAUGGGACUUCGAAAGAAGGAAUAAGCCAAAGCAAGAAAGAGACGGGUAGGUAGGGGCUAGCUCCGCCUUACUGCCAGGCUUCCCAUUGAGAAAGUGGCCGACGCCCUUAUUAAUGAAACCCAUAUGAUCCCACCCAUACAUAUAAGUAAGAGAAAGAGAGAAGUUAUUCCCAUACAUAUAAGUAAGAGAAAGAGAUAAGUUAUUGAUUUUGUACAUUUCAUAUUUGUACUGGUACUAAAAUAUAGUGAAUAAUGUGGGCAAGGCAUCCACACUCAUUUUCUAAGAUAAUAGAAGUGUUUACAAUAGAUAUCAUGAAAUUCAAUAAAGUCACAACACUCAAUAAUACGACUACACUUAUACUAGACUAGACUCAACUCAACUUACUUCUGGAGCGGAACCCUAUACUGGAUUCAUUCCCACUUAGACUAGACUCAUUAGUAUUAUAGGACGUUCAUUUCAUAGAAAAUAUGAGAAUAUACUUAUUAGAUAGAAAGAGAAUAGACUUAUUUGUAUUAUGGGACGUUCAUUUCAUAGAAAACAAGAGAACUACGGAUACCCUAAUCCAAUACUGAAUAUAGGCACCGCAACCCCCUAAUCUAUACUACACUCAUUUCCUUCCCGCUUACAAAUAGCAAUAGGUAGUCGAGUACGGUUUCAUUUUGGCUGUAGUGAAUAAGAUAGUAGAUCUAAGCUCUUCCAGUCUAUUAGUGGUAUUUGUCCUAUUAAGCAAUAAGAUGUGUUGUUACUAUAUUCUAUAAUACAAUAAGAUGUGUUGUUACUAUAUUCUAUAAGAAUCCUCUAUUAACCUUUAGCCUCUAAGAACCUUUACCAUUCUGAAUUUCACACAUGGUGGCCGUCAACCUUUGACUUUCCAUUUCUUUUACGAGAGGAGACUUUGUAGCAAGUUGGCUUCCUCUUCCUUAAGUUACGUAUAGGGUGCGGGUGCCGAUAUAUGAAGUCGGAGUUCGGAAUUAAUAAGUAAUACAUCUUCCUAUAAUUCAUGAAAUUGUAACCUAAACACACUUCUUUUCAUAUAAGUUCAUGGGACCACAAAAGAGCAGUGGAAAUCAACCCAUCAUAAAGCAAUGGCUUCUUCAAUAUCUUUCUCAAUCUGUUCAUGAGAGAAAAAGGCCAAGAGAAAUCCGGGCCCGAUAACCUUUGCUUGUACCUUUUCUGUGGAGCACAUUCACAUUUCCUGUGCUCGUCUCGUGGGAUUCCUGCUGUUCCACCGAUUAGACACAUGUCUUAAGCCAUAAAGCAAACACAACAGAAGAAAUAGUCUCUAUAUAUCUUAUUCAUACCAUUUAUCUAGUAAAGGUAAAAGGAUAGGCGGUCAGGAGCGGACUGAUCUAAUACAUCUCUUAUUUGCUCCUCUAGUUAUAACAUUCAUUUGCUUGUUUCCUAUAUUCUAUUUCACAUAGGACAACCAUAUUCUCAUAAAUGCUAGUAGGGUCAAGUUCUCCUGAACAUAUUAAUGUUCUAUUGGGUACCCAUAUGCUAAUAGUGUGAAUAGGGUAAAGUGAUUCCUACCCUAUAUGGAUUUUCUCUCGGGGUUCUCUAUGCCACCAACAGCUUGCUAUGACUUAUUCUAUUUCAAGACGGAAUAACUUGAACUAGGUUUGGUGUGGCUGGCUAUGACCUUCUUGGCCUGAUACUUAAUGGGGAAGAGUUUGCUCUUUCCUUGGGUCAGACUAUCCUAUGCUUUUCUGGAGGGUCUCGCGAAUGGUUCUCGCUCCGAAUACAGAAAAAAUGAGCGAUUGUCUCUCGGUCCAUUAGUUCACUUUUUGAAUAAAGGCAAGAUUCUUUCCCUAAUUGAAGUACUUACUAAGGACUCUGUUCUUUCUUUCCCAUGCAAGCAUUCAUCAUAAUUAGCUUCCAAGUCUGGUACUGAAAUAUCUCCCCAUGGAUGUUGUUGAUGAUGGGCUUUGAUGCGAGGUAUGGUCCAAGUCGAGUUCGGGAAUAAUCUAUUUGGAAUGCCUACUCAGCGGUUAAUGCUUGACCGAGAUACUAAGCAGAUAUAGACAUAGACUAACUGUUUGAACAAGGAAGGCCUAAACCCAACAAGAGCACAGGUGUUUUAGUUGAAGGUUCGGGGAAGUCAAGAGCAUAGCAAGAGGAGUUCGAAAGCAAAACACGAGCAAAGGCGAAGUCAAGAGUGGAGCAAGAGCAAUAGUAGAGUAGAGCUCGGCUGAAAAGGAGGCUAUUGGCGCACUGGCCUAUUAUAUGAAUGCUAUUAUUAUUUGAUCCUUCUAGAUAAGCACUGAGGCGAGCACUUCCGCGUUUUCUUUUGUAUUAUCCAUCUCAUAUAAAGCCUUAUUAGAUCCACGGUGUAGACACCGCGUCUUUCAUUUCAUUUCCUACUUCACUUUUUCCUUCCUUCUUAUGUUUCACUUAUAAUGGAUCUCAUAGGGCGGGUAGACGUUCUCUAAAAGAAAAGGCCCGUGUUCACAUUAGAAGCAGUAUCCCGAAUAAAGGCAUAAGACAUAAGAGUUGUUUCAGCUAUCAACUUCCGAGUUGCAAUGGGCGCAGAUGACCUUAUUUCUCUUUUCUUUUGAGAAUUCAUUAUACGCGAGAUAGGCAGGACUGCGACACCGGCUAUACUUACUCUCACACUUGCCAAGUCUUUACGUCGAGUUUGGAGUAUAAUGGAUUAUUUGUACACUCAGCAUAGAGCACUAAUUGAGAUCGAAGCUAGCAAAUAUUUAGAUCGAAGGAAGCUAGCGAAUAAAGUCAGUGUGUGUUCUCUUAUGUCUAAAAUAAUAUUGAGUAGCGCACCUCAUUUUCUCUUACCAGAUGUAGAGAUAGAUCUCGAAGCCCUUCUUCUUUCUCCCCUUCCAUUGAUCCUUUAUGCGCGAAGAAGGUAGAUUUGACUGACUUUUGCCCACUGUAACCUAGGUAAUUGAGGCUAGCUCUAGUACUUCCCUAUUUCAUUACCGGGCGGGCAAUCUGAAUUGAGUCAAGCAACUAGGGGACAAAAAGCCGUAUCGCAUCAAAAAUCCACUCACUCUAGAAGCAGAGAGACCUUUGAUCACGCAAGAAAGCAAUCAAUUUCGUUCUUUCACCUACCUUUGUUUGUCGACCUUAGAAUGGAGCAAGAGAAGCUACAAUAGGAACCUUUACCGCGGCUUCUGCCCGGGCAACUGUAGCCCAUAAAAUGAUCUAAUCAGGAGAGAAAAGAAGCUCAUAUUGUAUAUUUUGAGUCAUGUUACCGAACAAGCAAGGGAGGAAAUAAACAUAAUUCUGAUUACAGAGGCAGAGUUUAGUUCAGGGAGGCAGGCACAGAGUUCAGGGGGAGAAAAUAUGAUAGAUAGUAUAGAGUACUCUGGCUUUGAAGCGCAAAGUUAAUGAGUUUCAUCGUAAAGUUCCAAAAAGAGAAUAGCUGCGCAGGUCGCUGAACAAGAGUCUGCUCGAAAGCAAGUAUAAAGUGGAGUUCCUGUUUUGAAUUCGAGAGAGGUAUUUUACUAUAAGUCAGGAGAUAGAGGUGAUAGUUUUGCAGUAACUUAAUUAGCUGUUUCAAGGUUGGUUGAGUUCUUGUGUUGAAGGAGAAGUAGGUCAUUGUGAUUGACUUGCUUUCCCUUUGCUUUGCCUGGGUUUCAUUCCAUUCUGACUUGAGAGUUGACGUAUGGGAUAGAAUUAUAAGUCAUAUUCCCCAUUUCUAUACGAUAUAACCACUUUGCAUUCCACUUCUUAUUCGUCCUGUGUUCAUGGCGUCAGCAGCAAUAGUUCUAGUUGCCUGAGUUAGAUUAGCCUGAGUUCAAAUAGCCAUAGUUAGAUGAGCC